rnacentral:rRNA from 1 species
GCUUGCUCUUGAUGACGAGUGGCGCACGGGUGAGUAACGCGUAUGCAAUCUACCUAUAACUGAGGGAUAGCCCAGAGAAAUUUGGAUUAAUACCUCAUAACAUUAUUAUUUGGCAUCAUUUAAUAAUUAAAACUCCGGUGGUUAUAGAUGAGCAUGCGUUCUAUUAGCUUGUUGGUGAGGUAAGAGCUCACCAAGGCUACGAUAGAUAGGGGGCCUGAAAGGGUGAUCCCCCACACUGGUACUGAGACACGGACCAGACUCCUACGGGAGGCAGCAGUGAGGAAUAUUGCACAAUGGAGGAAACUCUGAUGCAGCCAUGCCGCGUGCAGGAUGAAGGCCCUAUGGGUUGUAAACUGCUUUUUUACAAGAAGAAACCUUGGUACGUGUACCAACUUGACGGUAUUGUAAGAAUAAGCACCGGCUAACUCCGUGCCAGCAGCCGCGGUAAUACGGAGGGUGCAAGCGUUAUCCGGAUUUAUUAGGCUUAAAGGGUUCGCAGGCGGAAUUUUAAGUCAGUGGUGAAAGCCUACAGCUC